GCCACUGUAGCUCAGUAGGUAGAGCAGCUGAUUCGUAAUCAGCAGGUCGGGGGUUCAAAUCCCUCCAGUGGCU
rnacentral:tRNA from 1 species